AAAGAAGGUUUUAGGGGCCGAUCCCUUAUCUCCUUCUAGGGGCCGUUUAACAAAAUUUUGAAGGUUGCAUAUUGUUAAAAACAUUAAUUUGAACAACUUUUCUUCUGUAUUGCAUAACAAAAUAUUUUUCCUUUCUGAGAUGUGGGUGAUCAAAAUUUUGGACUUUUGGCCCCUAUAAACCCUUAAUUACGUAACACAUAAUAAAAUAAGUACAUUGCUUGGAUAUAUAACUGUGAGAUAAACAUAUUUGCUUCUAUAACAUUUCAGAAAAUAUCUCUUAGUAAACGGCUACAGAUGAAAGACUUAAGGGCCCUUUUGUCCCCUAAUUUGAGAAACCAGCCCCUUUUUCUUGAUAUCAAAUGAAAGGUCUUGUAAAUAUAAAAAAGUUUUACUAUACAUGUUUUAACAAAAUAUUUUUCAGAAGAGAGAUAAACAAAGAAAACCAUGAAAAAUUAUGACUUUUUUUAGUCUCAAUUUUCGGGACCAGGCGAGCUUUAACGCUUUUUGAGCAUGACAAAUAUGAAUGCCAAAUGGCACAUCUACAAUCUAUUGUCUACAAUCCCUGAAAGUUUGAACUCAAUAUCUUUUACCGUUUAGGAGGAGGUCCCAGGACAAGCCGACCCUCUGAAAAUCGCUAAAACGUCACUAUUUUAAGAACGGAAAUGACGUCAUCAAAAUAAAAAAAUGUAUAUUAAGUUUAGAUCAAUAUCUAUUAGAUCUAAAAGUUUCAUGAAAAUCGGCCGAGUCGUUUUUGAGAAAUCGCGGGCACAAAAUU
rnacentral:sRNA from 1 species